AGAGUUUGAUCAUGGCUCAGGAUGAACGCUGGCGGCGUGCUUAACACAUGCAGGUCGAGCGCUGAAGCCCCAGCUUGCUGGGGUGGAUGAGUGGCGAACGGGUGAGUAACACGUGAGUAACCUUCCCUUGACUCUGGGAUAAGCCUGGGAAACCGGGUCUAAUACCGGAUGCGACCGUCCACCGCAUGGUGGGGGGUGGAAAGAUUUAUCGGUCUUGGAUGGACUCGCGGCCUAUCAGCUUGUUGGUGGGGUAAUGGCCCACCAAGGCGACGACGGGUAGCCGGCCUGAGAGGGUGACCGGCCACACUGGGACUGAGACACGGCCCAGACUCCUACGGGAGGCAGCAGUGGGGAAUAUUGCACAAUGGGCGCAAGCCUGAUGCAGCGACGCCGCGUGAGGGAUGACGGCCUUCGGGUUGUAAACCUCUUUCAGUAGGGAAGAAGCGAAAGUGACGGUACCUGCAGAAGAAGCGCCGGCUAACUACGUGCCAGCAGCCGCGGUAAU
rnacentral:rRNA from 1 species